rnacentral:rRNA from 1 species
AACGAGCGCUGGCGGCAUGCCUAACACAUGCAAGUCGAACGAGACCUUCGGGUCUAGUGGCGCACGGGUGCGUAACGCGUGGGAACCUGCCCUUAGGUUCGGAAUAACUCCCCGAAAGGGGUGCUAAUACCGGAUAAUGUCUUCGGACCAAAGAUUUAUCGCCUUUGGAUGGGCCCGCGUUGGAUUAGCUAGUUGGUAGGGUAAAAGCCUACCAAGGCGACGAUCCAUAGCUGGUCUGAGAGGAUGAUCAGCCACACUGGGACUGAGACACGGCCCAGACUCCUACGGGAGGCAGCAGUGGGGAAUAUUGGACAAUGGGCGAAAGCCUGAUCCAGCAAUGCCGCGUGAGUGAUGAAGGCCUUAGGGUUGUAAAGCUCUUUUACCCGGGAUGAUAAUGACAGUACCGGGAGAAUAAGCCCCGGCUAACUCCGUG